UGAGGAGAAGCUGCACUCGCACACCGAGACCGUCUGCGGGACAACUACGUCUGCCCCUAGUGAAGUACUCCGGAGACUCGUGCUUCGGUGGAGCGACCACCGACAAGCAAAACAGACUAGUGAGUAUGAUCCAAUCCUCUCAAGAGGAUACCCUGUCUACUAGGGUCAAUGUGCCUCUGCUGCACAGUCAUGAUAUAUAAUCAAUGUUGGGACUUCUACUAUCCCUA
rnacentral:lncRNA from 1 species